UAAUAGCCGGGUCCACACUGCUCCCAAACCGAUAUUCCCAAGCUCAGGGUUUGCGAAUUCUAGGGAUUAUAAAAAGAGCUCUAGAAGCUUCUUUUCUCAAAAUUCCAAUUUUCCUCCAUUUUGCACUAUCAAGUAUCAGCACCUUACUCCGGAACUAGCACUCUUGCUCUGGUAAAUCAUCUAAAUCUUAAUUGCACUUCUGAAUAAACUUCUCGUUUGUUUAAUUUUUUUUAACUUUUGAAAUAUUUUGGUUGUCGGUGGAUUUGAUCGGCGGCAGGUAGCGCGUGCAUCGGCAUUCACGUGUGGACUUGCUUAUGGAAACAUUAAGCUCAAGUAUCUCAGGG
rnacentral:lncRNA from 1 species